GCCCCGUUGGCCAAGUGGUAAGGCGUCGCACUCGUAAUGCGAAGAUCACUGGUUCGAUUCCAGUACGGGGCA
rfam:Fusarium oxysporum f. sp. cubense race 4 unplaced genomic scaffold scaffold71, whole genome shotgun sequence.